GACGAACGCUGGCGGCGUGCUUAACACAUGCAAGUCGAACGGAAAGGCCCUGCUUUUGUGGGGUGCUCGAGUGGCGAACUGGUGAGUAACACGUGAGUAACCUGCCCUUGACUUUGGGAUAACUUCAGGAAACUGGGGCUAAUACCGGAUAGGAGCUCCUGCUGCAUGGUGGGGGUUGGAAAGUUUCGGCGGUUGGGGAUGGACUCGCGGCUUAUCAGCUUGUUGGUGGGGUAGUGGCUUACCAAGGCUUUGACGGGUAGCCGGCCUGAGAGGGUGACCGGCCACAUUGGGACUGAGAUACGGCCCAGACUCCUACGGGAGGCAGCAGUGGGGAAUAUUGCACAAUGGGCGGAAGCCUGAUGCAGCAACGCCGCGUGCGGGAUGACGGCCUUCGGGUUGUAAACCGCUUUCGCCUGUGGCGAAGCGUGAGUGACGGUAAUGGGUAAAGAAGCACCGGCUAACUACGUG
rnacentral:rRNA from 1 species